rnacentral:rRNA from 1 species
UACGGGGGGGGCAAGCGUUGUUCGGAAUUACUGGGCGUAAAGGGUUUGUAGGUGGCUUGCUAAGUCAGACGUGAAAUCCCUCAGCUUAACUGGGGGACUGCGUCUGAUACUGGCGAGCUUGAGUGCAGGAGAGGAACGCGGAAUUCCAGGUGUAGCGGUGAAAUGCGUAGAUAUCUGGAGGAACACCGGUGGCGAAGGCGGCGUUCUGGACUGUAACUGACACUGAGAAACGAAAGCCAGGGUAGCAAACGGG